AUGAAGAAUGGUGGGUUGGAAAUGGUGUUUCUGGUUGGUGUGCUUUUCUGGAAAUGCAUCUCAUCAAAGUGCAGAUCUAAGAGAAGAAUGGUUCAGAGUCUGCCCUCGUUCACACUUCCCCUUCACUCUGCAAACAGCAAAACUGAGACAAUGAUGAUGGCAACUAAGAGAGGAAGGGCCAAGUACAAUGUCAAUAUUGCUGACCUGCUGCGUGAGGAAUGAACCAUGCUUGUAUUGCAGGGGCAAGCAAAGAUCAGCAGCCACAGCUGGACAAGAGAGGCAUCCCAGAGGUACUGCAAGCCUGUUUUGCUGCCGAGCAUUCUGUACUGUGAAACCACAGCCCCAUGGAGCAAGGGAACAACAGGAGACGCUUGCUGCUUUCAGGAUUAAAUCUAAAUUUGACUGAUGCUAUUUCACCCCUUGAUGAUGCUUUAAUAUAUGAUUAGUUUCUUGUCCCAGAUCAUGCUUUAAUUCCUUCAAGCCCAGGUAUGCCGUGAAACAGGAGACCGCCCUGACCUACAGUCCAAUCUGUCUCUGGUCCUGAGCACUUCU
rnacentral:lncRNA from 1 species